GUGAAUCAUCGAAUCUUUGAACGCAAAUUGCACUCUCCGGUUUUCCGGGAGAGUAUGCCUGUUUGAGGGUCAGCCUAAAAAAAAUCGACAUUGUUGCUGUUAUUUAAUGGUGACUUUCGCCGGAGAUUGGGUUAUCUUAAACCUUUUUUUUUUUGGUUUAGGGGCUUAAAAUUUUUUUUUCCGGAUCCCUUGAACGUUCUUAGGUUUUUUUUUUUUUUUCG
rnacentral:misc_RNA from 1 species